rnacentral:lncRNA from 1 species
UGGGAUAUUUAUUUUUACAUUAUCUAUUGGUCUCCAUACAUACGUUUUUAGGAUUAAGAUUCCACAAGGUCCAUGCAUAUUGUGCUUAACAAUAACAAAAUGAAGAUAAGAGUUUCUAUUUUUGUCAGGAAUUUCACAGCACACUAUCCUAUCAACCUCUUCAGCACAACAAAUUUUUUGCCCAGAUUUGAAAAUCAACAAUAG